UGCAUGUCUAAGUACACAGUUCUGUACACUAAUACCGCGGAUGGCUCAUUAUAACAGCUAUAAUUUGAGAGAUUUAAUUUUGCCACAGGAUAACUGUGGCAAUUCUAGAGCUAAUACUCACUGAAAUGCCGUGACUUCGGAAGCGGCGGAUUUAUUAGAUCAAAACUAACCUACUCGCAAGAGUGGUUCCUUGGUGACUCUGGAUAACUGAACUGAUCGUACGACCUUUGUGUCGACGACAUAUCUCUUGAAAUGGCUGACCUAUCAACUUUCGAUGGUAAGAUCAAAGCUUACCAUGGUUGUAACGGGUAACGGGGAAUCAGGGUUCGAUUCCGGAGAGGGAGCCUGAGAAACGGCUACCACA
rnacentral:rRNA from 1 species